rnacentral:rRNA from 1 species
UACGGAGGAUGCGAGCGUUAUCCGGAUUUAUUGGGUUUAAAGGGUGCGUAGGCGGCGAGUUAAGUCAGCGGUAAAAGCCCGGGGCUCAACCCCAUCCAGCCGUUGAAACUGGGGAUCUAGAGUGUGCGAGAGGUAUGCGGAAUGCGUGGUGUAGCGGUGAAAUGCAUAGAUAUCACGCAGAACCCCGAUUGCGAAGGCAGCAUACCGGCGGCGAUCUGACGCUGAGGCACGAAAGCGUGGGUAUCGAACAGG